rfam:Beta vulgaris subsp. vulgaris chromosome 7, whole genome shotgun sequence.
AACUCAUGGUGAGGGCAUAAACGGAUCAUCUCCUUGAACCGCUCUCAAGCUUCCGCAAGAGUUUCAUCGUUUUCUUGCUCAAAUGAGGAGAUCUUCCUCCUUAUGUC